rfam:Daphnia pulex DAPPTscaffold_6_Cont417, whole genome shotgun sequence.
CAAUCGGCCCUUUUCAGGGCCACCAUCAUUUUAAAGAAAAGACAU